AUUAUAUGGUAUAAUUUUCAAAGAUUUCUAGUGAAUGUCCAAAUAUGUUAAAAACCACAUUACCCCGAAUAGAACAACUAACGCCUAUUUAUCUGUAACAACAGGGAACAAUAAAAAAUUAGCAUGGCUUGACACAAAAGGAUUGUGUGCAGAGGAAUGGUGUGGAAGCCCCCAGAUCCCUGUGCUUGGAAACUGCUGUUUCCUUUCCUGGCAUGCUGAAAAAGCAGGAAAUAUGCCAAGUUACUGUCGGACCCCUUGAAGAAAAACCUGGCAGCUCCCCCCAUUCCUGUGUGGCUACUGAGCAAUUCCAGUUUCCUGCUGAGCACCAGCCAUGGCAAAGCACAGGCUGUGGAACUGCUGGGGCAGAGCUCCCACAAGAACUCCAGUCAUCCAUCCCUGACCAAAGCUGCCUCCCACAAGGACACACAUUGGAAUUGGAAAAGGCUGAGAUGGAGGAUCCAUUGCUUCUUUGUUCAUGCUGUAGCUGCACAAGUCAGUAUUGCCACUCCUAUGGCAUUCUUGUGUUUUGCCAUUAG
rnacentral:lncRNA from 1 species